rnacentral:rRNA from 1 species
UACGUAGGUGGCAAGCGUUGUCCGGAUUUACUGGGCGUAAAGCGCACGCAGGUGGCUGAGUCAGUCGAUUGUGAAAGCCCUGGGCUUAACCUGGGAAUUGCAGUCGAUACUACUCAGCUAGAGUAUGGGAGAGGGUAGUGGAAUUCCCGGUGUAGCGGUGAAAUGCGUAGAUAUCGGGAGGAACAUCAGUGGCGAAGGCGGCUACCUGGCCCAAUACUGACACUCAGGUGCGACAGCGUGGGAGCAAACAGG